UCAAGUGCUGUGAAGAGAACGUGCCACUGUACUUUGCCCAUCGGAAGGGCAUUGAAAUGGAGAUAUACCUGGCACAGGGGCCAUCUGAGCACUU
ensembl:snoRNA Y116A8C.50 ncRNA